GCGGGCAUAGUUUAAUGGCAAAACCUUAGCCUUCCAAGUUAAUAAUGGGGGUUCGAUUCCCCCUGCCCGCA
rnacentral:tRNA from 1 species